UACGUAGGGUGCAAGCGUUGUCCGGAAUUAUUGGGCGUAAAGAGCUCGUAGGCGGUUUGUCGCGUCUGCUGUGAAAACCCGAGGCUCAACCUCGGGCCUGCAGUGGGUACGGGCAGACUAGAGUGCGGUAGGGGAGAUUGGAAUUCCUGGUGUAGCGGUGGAAUGCGCGGAUAUCAGGAGGAACACCAAUGGCGAAGGCGGCGACCUGGCCAAUUACUGACACUGAGACGCGAAAGCGUGGGGAGCAAACAGG
rnacentral:rRNA from 1 species